CGGAGCAGAGACACGGAUCCAAAGCGGGUGAGAAAGCCGGAGGAGCCCUGCAGGGAACUUGAAAGCCGGGGUCUGUAAUGGGCAGACUGGGGGGAAAGAAGCAGCAGGAGGCAGGCACCCCCCCGCCCCCACCGGGAAGUGUGCCUGUCCUUCUUGCCCUGAGGAUGGCUGCUGCUUCUCAAGUGCUGCUGUCCCUGUGGUUGUUUCACUUCCCCUCCCAAAAGAGCCGCCCGGCCAGCACACCGAGCUGGAGACACUGCCAUUGAUGCUCAGGAACUGAAGAUUGGAAGGGAUGGAUUCACUAAGAGCCCAGCGAAGACGAAGAAGCAAUCUGUGACUGCCUGAUCGCGAGAAUCACCAAGCACCAACCUGCAACACACCCGGGUUGACGCCACAAUGGCUGCCUGCUCAUAUGUCGCAAGCAGGGUCGUCGCUCUAUUCCUGCAGUUACCAACAGAUUUCUCGGUGAACAGAGCUGACUUCAAAACCUCCAACUCAGUCCUAAACCUUUUGUCACUGUAGGCCAAAGACACAAGUAACGAUUCAUUUUAUGGUUUUUCUUUUCCUGUUAAUGAUCUUGUACGUAUUUGUUUUGUUUUGUUUUAAAGCCUGUUCGAAACUUUACGCAGUGAAGCCAAGUCAUAAUGUUUUGAGUGGAAAGCUCUGAAUUAUUAAAAGAGAACAGCAUUGAUAAUCUGAAGGUUUGGGGGAUGUCGCAGAAAGGUCGAGUGUAGACAAAAGCAUUGAAUAAGAGAGAGAAAAGAGAGAAAAUUUUGCCUUUUUAGUUUGGUUUCUUAACUGAAACACGAGAGAGCACAAGAAACAAAUGUGAAGGCUUAUUGUAUGUCGUAGGUGGAUGGAGGACAAGAAGUGUCAAAUCGUUGAGAGAAAAAGCAAGUAGUGAUGUAUGACAAGGUUAGUGCGUUUCGACAGUCUUAAACAAAGAAAUGAGGAAAACUGCGAAAAACGCCAAACCGACUCUCGGGUAUAGGCCAAGGUUGGCUAUCAGACCUCUUCCAUUGGUUUGGGUGUAACACGUGAUCAUGGUUCCUCAACUUGUUAAUACCCUUCAUUAUGCUUUUGUUAUCAAUUGCUAUAUUUGUGUGUUUUAGCUGUUGAAUUUUACAGUAUCUCAAAACAAAGUUAACCAUGCUUUUUGCUUUUGUAUACACCCGCUUGCCAAACACUAACAAUGAUGAACAAAAUGGUCUGUACAUAAACAUGAUGUUACUUGCUGUGCCAUGGGCAAGGGGGCAUGUCACAACCAAAUUAAGUAGUGCCCAUGUCACAAACAAGUAAUAACCAUUUAAAACAGUUUUUUCUGCACUAGGUUAACUAAGGGUUAACAAUAAUGAUAGUAACCGCUUUUUUUCUGCACAUGUCAAAAAGAAAUUUAUUGCUGCGCCACUAACAGAGAUAAAAACUUUUGCCUUCUUUGCUUUAUAUAAAUCAUUAUAAUUGGUCAAAGAAAACAGGGAGUAACCCUAUGAUAACACCCUAGCGAAGACCGCUAGAUAAUUGGCGAUUCUAAUUAGAUUUAUGACGUGGCGAAAAACAAUUGGCUAUCAUACAAACAAAACCUGCUUACAUUUUUCGCAAAGUCGAAGACAACUCUGCCCACACCUUGGAGUAAAUCUGACAAUUUGAUCAGCUGUCAGCGUCUUCCCGCCGUGACCUCCCUGGCGUACCCUUGCCUUGCAUGCCCGAUAAGCCGACCACCGGCCCAUAUAUAUAUAUCUGCAGAAUAACUGAAUGACGAUCUCUAAGCUGUAACUAACUAAGUAUCUCUGACCUCCGUCUUACACCACCUUGACGUGAGUAAACAAUCUUGCUUUGCAA